rnacentral:rRNA from 1 species
CCUACGGGGGGCAGCAGUCGAGAAUUAUUCACAAUGGGGGAAACCCUGAUGGUGCGACGCCGCGUGGGGGAAUGAAGGUCUUCGGAUUGUAAACCCCUGUCAUGUGGGAGCAAAUUAAAAAGAUAGUACCACAAGAGGAAGAGACGGCUAACUCUGUGCCAGCAGCCGCGGUAAUACAGAGGUCUCAAGCGUUGUUCGGAAUCACUGGGCGUAAAGGGUGCGUAGGCUGUUUCGUAAGUCGUGUGUGAAAGGCGCGGGCUCAACCCGCGGACGGCACAUGAUACUGCGAGACUAGAGUAAUGGAGGGGGAACCGGAAUUCUCGGUGUAGCAGUGAAAUGCGUAGAUAUCGAGAGGAACACUCGUGGCGAAGGCGGGUUCCUGGACAUUAACUGACGCUGAGGCACGAAGGCCAGGGGAGCGAAAGGGAUUAGAUACCCCGGUAGUC